CCUCUUCGAUCUGCUGCGGGCAGAUGAAAUGGAUAUGGGAGUCGAUGCCGCCCGCGGUGAGGAUCAUGCCUUCGCCGGCGAUGACCUCGGUGGCGGCGCCGAUGGGUACGCUGACGCCGGGCUGGAUGUCCGGGUUGCCGGCCUUGCCGAUGGCCUGGAUGCGCCCGUUCUUGAGGCCGACAUCGGCCUUGACGAUGCCCCAGUGAUCGACGAUCAGGGCGUUGGUGAUGACGGUGUCGACCACCUCGGCUGCCAGCAGCUGGCUCUGGCCCAUGCCGUCGCGGAUG
rnacentral:sRNA from 1 species